rnacentral:rRNA from 1 species
GGUUGAUCCUGCCAGUAGUCAUAUGCUUGUCUCAAAGAUUAAGCCAUGCAUGUCUAAGUAUAAGCAAUCUAUACGGUGAAACUGCGAAUGGCUCAUUAAAUCAGUUAUCGUUUAUUUGAUAGUUCCUGUACUACAUGGUAUAACUGUGGUAAUUCUAGAGCUAAUACAUGCUGAAACUCCCGACCUCUGGAAGGGGGGUAUUUAUUAGAUAAAAAAUCAAUGUCUUCGGACUGUUUGAUGAUUCAUAAUAACUUGUCGAAUCGCAGGGCCUUGUGCUGGCGAUGGUUCAUUC